rnacentral:rRNA from 1 species
GACGAACGCUGGCGGCGUGCUUAACACAUGCAAGUCGAACGGAAACGCCCUGCUUUUUUGCGCUUCUCGAGUGGCGAACGGGUGAGUAACACGUAAGUAACCUGACCUUCUCUUUGGGAUGACUUCAGGAAACUGAAGCUACUACCAGAUAGGAUCUCAUGCUCCAGGGUGGGCGUUGGAAAGUUUCGGCUGUUGGGGUUGGACUGGCGGAUUACGAGCUUGUUGGUGGGGUAGUGGCAUACCAAGGCUUUGACGGUUAGCCGGCCUGAGAGGGUGGCCGGCGACAUUAGGCCUGCGAGAGGGCGCAGACGCGAAUGGUAGGCAACAGUGGGGAAUAUUGUACAGUGGGCGGGAGUCUGAUGCAGAAACGCUGCGUGUGGGAUGCCGGCUUGUGGGGAGUAAACCGCUUUCGCCUGAGACGAAGCGUGAGUGACGGUACUGGGUGAAUAAGCACCGGCUAACUACGUG